rnacentral:rRNA from 1 species
GACGAACGCUGGCGGCGUGCUUAACACAUGCAAGUCGAACGGAAAGGCCCCAGCUUGCUGGGGUACUCGAGUGGCGAACGGGUGAGUAACACGUGGGUGAUCUGCCCUGCACUCUGGGAUAAGCCUGGGAAACUGGGUCUAAUACCGGAUAGGACCGUGCUUUAGUGUGUGCGGUGGAAAGUUUUUCGGUGCAGGAUGAGCCCGCGGCCUAUCAGCUUGUUGGCGGGGUAAUGGCCUACCAAGGCGGCGACGGGUAGCCGGCCUGAGAGGGUGUACGGCCACAUUGGGACUGAGACACGGCCCAGACUCCUACGGGAGGCAGCAGUGGGGAAUAUUGCACAAUGGGCGCAAGCCUGAUGCAGCGACGCCGCGUGGGGGAUGACGGCCUUCGGGUUGUAAACCCCUUUCGGCAGGGACGAAGCUUUUGUGACGGUACCUGCAUAAGAAGCACCGGCUAACUACGUG